AGUGGGAUAACUGUGUUAAAUGGUGGUUCCAUUCUAAAUUUUCAAAGGAAUCUCCAUACUGCUUUCCAGAAUGGUUGUACCAAUUUGCAGUCCCAACAGCAAU
rnacentral:pre_miRNA from 1 species